rnacentral:rRNA from 1 species
UACAGAGGGGGCAAGCGUUAUUCGGAAUUAUUGGGCGUAAAGGGCGCGUAGGCGGCUUUGCAAGUGACGGGUGAAAGCCCUCGGCUUAACCGAGGAACUGCCUGUCAGACUGUGAGGCUUGAGACCAGGAGAGGUGAGUGGAAUUCCCAGUGUAGCGGUGAAAUGCGUAGAUAUUGGGAGGAACACCAGUGGCGAAGGCGGCUCACUGGACUGGUACUGACGCUGAGGCGCGAAAGCGUGGGGAGCAAACGGG